GGGGGCGCGGCACGGCAGGGUGACGGCCCGGCCUUCAACCACCCGGAUGUGGAUCUCAACUACCGGAGGCAGAAACAAUGCAUGCUGGAGAAGCAGCUGCUAUGAUGAGCUCAGCAGCUCCACCAGGUGUUUGCUAAGUGAUGCUGGCUAGUCUGAAGGAGCGCAGUGGGGAAGGGAGGGCUGCUCUGCGAGGCUGAAGCUCAGAAGUCCAAGAGGAGGAGCUGCAGAGUAUUGACUGAGAGGGGCGUGAUCAAAAAUAAGUUAUUCCUUCAUGCAGCUGGAAGUGAGAGCGACUCAGGAAGCUGAUCUGUGGAGGAAUCGGCCUCCAGAAACACGGAGCGGUGCUGGAUUUCUAAGAAACAUGGGAAUGAGCAGCAUGCAGACGAGAGACGUUCCUGGAAAAAACGAUGAAAUCUGUCUAACAGGAAGGUUCACCAACAUGCACAAGCAGAAAAGGGAAGAGGAAGAGAGGAGCUUCGACGCUCCAGUUCAGGUUCAGACUGAUGGAAAUGUUUUUAUCUUUCAGAUAAAUGUCAGAGAAUAUUCUAGGUUUAAUAUCAGAAGCUUAUUCAUUAAAAAUCUAUAUUUUUCCUGCAAAUUAAAUUUUUUUUCUUGCAAAUAUGUGAAAUUAAUCUAGCAACCUUCUCUUUUGAGGCUGCGUUAUUAUUUUCUUUGAUAUCCAAAAGGCCUGAUUCUCAAAAUCUCACUGCUGUUCACUUUGAUAAACAGUUUAUUCAUAAAAUGUCCCUGCAAAGAUACGUAACGUUCCGCAGUAAAACAAUAAAAACUCUCCUGUUCUGCUUAAUAGACUUCAUUGAUAAUCUAAGCAAUAAAAAAGUAACCUUUUCAAAGCAACUUUUUAAUAUAAUGUCAAAUUUGAACUUAAAUUUUAUUACAUUACAACAUGAUACGGUGGUUAUUUGAAAAAAAUAUGUUUGAUAUAAAACAUAACUGAGAGAAACUCAAAUUUGCUAAAAUUUACAUUUUAAAAAAAUAGAAUAAAAACUUUUAGAUACUUGUUUAUCAACAAUAAUUAUUUUUUAAAAUAUUCCAUGUUGGAUUAUAAACAUGGAUUGAACGUAAUGCAGUGUAGAAAAAGGACAAUAAUAAAAAAUCAUCUUAUUUUACACACUGCAGCAGCUGCGUCUCCUGUGCAUUUACACGCGCUGACCACUAGGGGCAGCAGUGACGUUCUUCUGUGAUUAAACGUUUAUUUUCUGACUCAAACUUCGUUUUAUUUACGGAGAACAAGAAAGAGUUGGAC